GUAGACCAUAGCUUGAUGUCGGCCUCAACAUGCCAAGUCGUUGUGCUGCCGCAGCGGAACGUGUACCUUCGGCAGAAAAAGAAAAGUUAGUCCUCUCAUUUACAAGGGUGUGCUGGAUUCUCAGUUACCAGCUCAGGCAAAUCAAGCACCAACACAGUCAAGAGUUAAGGCACGAACUUUCCUUCCGAGAUCGGCACUUGGUGGGUCUGAACCGUACUGUUGCAACUUGGACAGGCUGUAUGCAGCCAUGCAUAUUGACGCAGAUAAAAAAGUAUGCAAACACUUUGAGUGGUGCGCCACUUCUUCAUGCCUAUUUAUACACGACUAAAAGUACUUGUUUGGUUCCCGUCUUUGGCGAAAGUCGCGCAUCCGUCUUUCGCCCGUCGUCUUGCCUACUUGUCGGGCGGGCUCGGUUACUUUCGUUUCGUUGCUGCGCUGAAGACUUCGCCCCAAGAUAUCGACAAGCAAACAGGAAAGAGAAAAGUGCCUGGACGGGAACGGUACUCAGCUCUCGUGUCAGCGGACAGCAGUCUGCGCCUCUCGAGUCGACAAAUCAAACGGAAUCCUUGCCGCCCAGCCAAAUCCGUGGAAACGGAGCCUGCCGGUCGUUAGCUUCUAAAAAGUCGUUUCCCAUCAGACGACACUGGCAUGGACUGGUGGCCAUCCAUCAAACACUCCAGGCCACAGGGCAAAGUCUGAGGCGGAACCGCGGCGUCUCCUUGCCCCCGGCAGCCCCCGUCAAUCCUGUUUUCGCGCGGGAUGAGUCUCGAUCCGCAGGCACGGCUUUCCUUCGACAUGCUUUUCCUUACCAGGUAGUCCAUGAUAGCCUGCUCGCGGCGCUGUUGAUACUCUUGGAUCAACUGACGAACGAUGAACCGAUGCCGAUUGACGACGGAGGCGACCUCAACAAGCGCCUCUCCAGUCCGCCCAAUACGAGCAACCAGGUCAGAACACAAACCCGCCGGCUGCUGCUGGAGUUGCUGAACAAGGAGUUGCACCAACAUCGGGCACUCCUCUUCGAGAAGCAGUGCGCUAGACAGGAGCAAUAGGUGAUGGCACGUGCACGCACAGACAUGCCUAUUCCCGCUGUUCUCUCCACAGCAACACCCGCAGCUGGCAGCGAUGAGUUCAGAGACAUGGCUGGAACCCAGGCUCUUCCCCUUUUCAUCCCAGCAAAUAUUCCCUAGUGACUGCUGGACGGCGGCAGAACCGUUCGCCUGCCAGCCUGUCUCAGCUCUCUCGGAGCAGUCCCUAUCCCCCCUGCCGCGUGUCCCAGGCUCCGCCACAACCGCAGGCGCCGACUUUUCAAGAAUGGAAGCAACCGCGUCGACUGCAGCCGCCGCAGCUUUCGGAUCGGCAGUGCGCGCCGCAACUCGAAGCAUUUCGCAUACCGGACGAACGGCCCCCAGCUCGAGGAGGCGGACCAAGACAGCUCGGUCGGCUGUGGUGCACGCGUUCACGACUACCCAGAGAAGUUCUCGGCGGACUUCCUCUUCUUCCUCUCCCCGUGAGGACAGCUGCAUGAGAACUGCCUCCAGAACUCCCAAGUCUAAGAGUUGCUGCAGUUGGUGAAGAGAUCCGACAGCAAUGUUGCUGAUACACCACCCGCAAUCUUUUCGAACUGCCUUCCGCUCGUGGUGAAGCAAGAUGCGCAAAAUGUGAAGCAACAGGGAAGAAGGUUGGCUACUGAGACUCCUCUCAGCUGUGGAAGACGCAUGGCGGGAGUUCUCGUCGCCGUAGAUGCCCCUUUGAUCCGUGACACAACAGUCGAGCAGAAGCUGCGUCUGUCGGACGCUUCCCGUUGCUACUUGGCCGACAAUGCGCAGCGCAGGUCGGACGCACAUCUGGUGGUGUUGCUCGGUCUCGGCUUCAGGUGGAGAUUUUGGGGAGGCGCCACAGCAAGUUCGACAGCACGAAUUCCUCGCAAACGGCCCGCCGGCCUCCUUAAGUGGCCAGACAUGAAGGCUCGAGGGCGCCGCAGCAUGGUCUGGGGAAGCCGUGGCCGACAGUGUAGGACAACGGCAGCAACACGCGCUGCUGCAGUGAGCUAGGACGUGGAUAACAGCUGUGAGGAGUUCUCGUCGCUCGGCAAGCAGCGUGGCGCCCCGGGGGUGUCCGGCGAGGCCAUCGAGCGCCCACAGUGCAUCUGAAAGGGCCUCGUCGUCCUGGAAGUUGAGGAGCACGUGCUGCAGUAGCGGCACGACUGGCAGGAGGCGCUGGAGCUACAGCCGCAGCCAGAAACGACACAGAGGCGAAGCAGAAGAGAUCGGAUGGUCUCGACGGCCGAAGCUUUGUGCGAGUGGGCUCGAGCCGGUCACACGGAAACUUCUAGGAAAGGCCAUGCCAUCUUAGUGGUGACAACGCGCUCCGAAGAAGAGCCAAGACACACACAUCUGCGGUCUAUCUGAGUGCUUACCUCCUUUACAGUUUCAUGCACCCCGUUCUUUCCCCGUGAAAGGUGUAUUCGUUGAAUAUUAUGUCCUCUGCCGCGCGCACCUAUACAGCAGACUGGCCUGUUAUAUCCUAGGGUUUGUCGUAUAUGGCAGGCUGCGACAGGACAGUGAUACCGGUGUCAACGUUUGCGCUGGAGUCGCGAUUGCAUUGGAUGCAGCGGCAAACUCCUCCACAUGCUUAUAUCUUGAGGGGAUGCCUCCAAAGAAUCCAUCGACCCGUCUGCUUGCUUGUCUACCGCUCUCACCUGAGGCCGAGGUUGUCCUCUACAGAGAUUGGAGAGAAGCCAGACGCAUGUGCGCCAGGUUUGAAUGUUUCGGCACUGCGAGAUGAGGGCAAGAAGUUGUCCUUGGAGAGAAGGAAACUGAGACUCCUCCUCGUUGCCACAGCCGAAUUCUGUGCGGCGUAGCUGUUGCAGGCGCACGAGGCUUUCUUUGUAGUGCUGAAGAAGGUGCGACAGCUGGGGUUGCUGCUGUAUUGACGGGUAACAUUGGAGUUGCUGAGUGUGUUGGAACAAGGCGUCUGGAGACAGAAGAAGAUCGCGAAAGUGGGGACUGUCUCCUGCAAUAUUGCCGAGAGCCCACAGAAUCUGCUCCAACACUUCUUCCUCGUCGCGAUCCGGAGAGUGAGGUUGCGGCGCUCCCGAAGAAGGCGGUCCCAGAGAAGACAAACGAGAAGGAUGGAAGGAAAAGACGAGGGCGAAGAGCAGAACGAGACAGCCACUCGCCACGAGAGCAGUGACGUCUUCCGAGGACCCGCUCGCGAUGCGCGACCCUAUGCGAAGUGGGAGACUCCGCAGAAUAUCUGAAACGCCUUGACGGCCUGUGCGGUGAAACCCUCGCGGCAGCAUGCACGGGAUACACACCGCACGUUCUCACCGUUGUCACGCCGCUCCUCUCGGUUUUCGCUUCUCCAACUCUCCCGUGGACAAAGAGAGAGGACGACGCGAAUGGACCUGGUGCACUGAAGCAGGAGCUCUUCGUGUUCCUCGUCCUUGGCGAUCCCCUGCUGCGCCGUUGCGCCGCCAAAGGGCUCCCUGGGGUGGAUCGCAUGGCAAGGCGACGGUUUCUCGUCACAGGUAAGGCUGGUCGACUGGGCGACCUGGUUUUGACUGAGGACCGGCAGAAACAGCGGGAUGGGAGGAUCCAAAGAACGACUGAGUAGCUCUUGCAUAAAGUGCAGAAGACGGCCCCAGUCUUGCGGAGACGCUAAAGCAGCCGGGAGCUCUGACGCAGCGUCUGUAGGGAGGGAAUUUGGAGGGAAAAAAGCGGGACAGUCAAUUGCAAGUUUUUGCCGGAAGAAACGCGUCAGCUCCUGUAGCUCAUCCUCGUUGCUCGCAUCGGUUGAACGGCUGGCCCCACAAAAAACGCUUCGGCGUUUCUGCAUGUGGCCGAAUCCAGCGGAAGGUUCCGAAGCAGCCUGGGGCAAUUCCAUCGUGAUGGAGAAGAAAGAGCUGGAAAUGCACCGAAGGAAAGAGCCUGACACCGCAGCGCUGGUGGUGGCUGUGCCGGUCAGGUCUACCGCGGCGGCUCCAGGAGGGCCCGCUCGGUAGCCUAUACGCUACUUUGAAAAUAGGUGCUCAGCAAAAAGUCUUAUCGCUAGUAGAGAGCAGCACAACGUCCGCGCUAACACGGCACUAAGACGUCCAUGCGCCCCGAUCUGCGGUCGACAAGCCGAGCACUCAGGUGGAGUGUCGAAGGACCGCUACCAGGUGUUUAAGACAUGCCUGAAUCUCCCGUCAAGGCCCAGAAUUCGAAAAGGUUUCCCGAGCCCAAUGAUCAGUCAUCACCCUGCACUUCCUCAAGUGGUGAUCGAAAUAGCGGGGGAGGCGGAACGAGAUGGAACUCUUGUCUCCGUACGAGAAGCAGGUCUGACGCCAACUAGCGGAUGUGCGACGAGCGGACCAGAGAUACAGUUGAAAAGUGCAGCCGCGGCGAGUUCAAGGACACGGAUACGGGGUAAAACGAAAGUCGAGAUGGCGCAAAAGUUUGACGGCUGACGCAUGAAACUCCAUGAGUUCUGCUCAAAUGGUCGGAGUUUGCGUCGCCUCAUGCAGGUUUGUCCCGUUUCUUUCGGUUUUGCCGCCCCCACGGGCGGAGGCACGGAGAAAGGGAAGGCCGUUCCUCCUGAGACAGUCGAACUCUGGUAGUCCAGGGGUUCCACUUCUAAACCAAUCGGAUACAGUCCAAAGCUUCCGCCUUUUACAGACCAGGACAUUCUUUUCAAUGCGACUAUGGAGUACGCUCGGGAGGACAUGCACACUACGGGUGGUACACCGGGCCGACGAGGUAGCCCCCGGCCCCCAUACCCGUGUGUGACGACAUGUGACGUGCCCUUGGGCCUUGGGUCACUUGGUAACCCAGCGGGGUGUCCUGUUGCAUGCGUGGGUACCGUCGUCCACAGGGUUCGAGAAAAAGCAGGGAAGAAAACAAAGGAGAAGAGGCAAAUACCCGCAUCCGCGCAAUUCUGUCGGAUCAGCCUUUCAUCCGCAUGCGGUCGGUACUGCGUCCGUGCUCGACGGGGAAUGAGAGGUACGGGUGGGAACGGCGACGAGAUGAAAAAGGGUGGACCGUGUGAAUUGACGCUGCCGUGGUCGGCAUCGGCGUAUGAUUAUUAGUGUCGAUCGCCUCGGCUCAGUACUGGCCGCUUUGGAAUUUCUUCAGCUUGUCACCAACGCUGCCGCCCUCGAGCUGCACGGUGAGAGUCUCCAGGAAAAACACCGACCAUCCAAGUCAUGUAUCUUGCCUGUCAAAGGGAAACGUUGCCUGCUCGCGUGAUCAGCCCAGGUUGCACACCACAGUCUGCCACAUUUCUCUGAGGAUCCUUCUGUAUUCUCCACAUGUGGGCCUUUGGAAUGAACGGGCGCUCAGGAGCCCCAGUCGGCUACCGGCGGGAUGGCUGUGGAAAAGUCCUCACAGCCACCGAGCGGCGCUGAAAGGCCUGGAAGACUGACCACCUCGUGAACUGCGGCAUCAUUUCCCACGACUUAUUGAUCGUUCUAUGAAGGUUUAGUCAAGAUCUAUACAGUCGUGGGGACGUGCUGCGCAUUCAGUCAAAUCGCGUUCGGGUCCGAGUCGCACACCAGACAACGCGAAGGCGCCGGUGCGCGACUCUGCUUUUUCUGCCAGGGAGAUCGCUUCGUGAGGAAAGCGUCCUAACAACCAAGUGUCUCGGAUUCACAGGGCCCAACGUGCUCAUCUAGGAAAAGCGUCCUCAAGGUGAAGGCUCCAGUCCUAUGAUGUUAGCCUGUUUAUUGACUCGCAGCUCACAAGACUGUCCUGGACGGGGUCGUUGUCGACCGAGGGAUGGCCAACGAAUGCUGGAAAAGCAGCAAGUAGUGGACACACACAGGAGCGGUCUUUCAGCCAGAAAGGAGCUGCAGCGUUUGUGUGGUUGCUCCAGUUUCUCGUACUACCCUGCUGUCGGGGAGAAACGGUACCACCUUCCGACUGCGGACGAGCAACGCGCACGCAUUCGUCUGCACAGAUUGUGUAUGCCGUCUCACUGCUUCUUGCUGCGAACCCCGCCUAACAUUUUUCACGCGUGUCUAGUCGUCGAGAACAGGCAAGUCGGGGCGAAGCUGAAGUGCAGCGUUUGAGCAACAAACCAGCCAAGAUCUGUCGGCGCCUCCGGACGGUGUGGCUCCGUGCUGCACGACAAAAAAUUGGGUUGAACGGCUCUAGCAGUGCCGGUCGUCUCAUUUUCGCAAAGUGCUUCCGUCGAAAGGAUGCAACAGUUAUUCGGCCUCCUGCUGUGUGUCGCAAAGAAAGUGAGAGCCCGUUGUCUCCCUGUGUUCUCUUGAGGAAUGCUCUCCAUCUGGGCCGUCUUUUCUCUGGAACGCACCUCUGUCAGCGGCGCCACCAAAGCUCAGUCAGCCGCACACAAGCCGUUGACGAUGAAACGGGAGAAAGAAACGCCAUAAGCGAAAGUGAAGUGGCAUACCAUUUCUCCGAGUCCACGCAUUUUUAUUCCUUGGUUCACGGGUUUUAGAGUAGCACUUGUCUGGUGCCCCAUCCCGAUGGGGGGGGGCAGCCGUGUCCAUACCGCCCGUCUGGCUGGUCUCAAUCCUGCUUCCUCUUCCGUAAUCCGCAGCUUAUUUGGCUUUCUUGGCACCCACAUCUACUUUUUUCUGACGAGACAGGAGAAUUCCCACAAAAACUGUUGGGAGUUUGCCAGCGCCAAGGCAGGGCGCCUUUACGUUAAACCUGUAUCGGCAGCGCAACUUACGUGAGUUACUUCAAGC
rnacentral:lncRNA from 1 species